UUUGCAAAUGAAAGAAGGUAAUUCCCUCUGCAGCCCCCCGACAAGUGACCUUGCUCUUUUCUCCUUGGCCAGUGGGAAGCAAACUCAGGAGCUCUGGCCUUAGGAGAUGGGAGGAAGACUAAAGCAGCAGUUCUCAAAGUGUGAUCCGGGAGACCCUGCAGAUCCCAAGAUCCUUUCUAGAGUUUCGGUGGGAGAACUAGUUUUAGAAUUAUAGACGUCAUUUGCCUUUUAAACUCACAAUGGAAUUUUCCAGAGGCGACCUGAUGUCUAAUGAUGACACUGCUCUUAUGACCAAAGGAAUGUGAGCUCGUAUAUUCUUUUAGAAUUUCCUAAGUGAAUCCAGGAAAAUAGAGGAUGCUUCAAAGAAGGAAACGCGAGAGUACCCUGCACCCAAACAGCCUCUGGCCUGAGGAACAAGGAACAGACCAAUGUUCUGGCCCUGGUGCAAGUGAAUGUUUGGCAUAGUCUGCUGGCAACAACAGAAGUUAUUACCUGAAAACUCAUUCUGAAGGUGGAGGAUGUUGGGGGAGUGCUCUUGACAGUUCCAGUCUCCUCAACCUCUUCCUCUUCGUAAGCCUUUCUCCUCUGCUUUGCAUCCCUGUCCCCAAUCACAAGAAUAGGACUGAUAAGUAGAGCUCUGCAAUAUGGGUUAUGAACACCUGCAGUUUAAGACAAGUAAACAAUUGAUGGCAGCAGUGGCCUGUCUGGAGCGGCUACUGUGAAGAUGCCAGCUGUAGUGUGGGAGGCACGGUGGGGGCUGCGUGCUCCGUGGAGCUGGCCGGAGCCCCACCCUCUUCUGAGUUGGCCGGGUGGGAGCCCCACGCUUUCCGGCACAGCUGCAACCACCCAGCCACAGCUGCAGACCUGGACAUCCCUGUGCUCUCGGGGGCUGGGAAGACCCCCUGACCCGCAGGCUUGGAAGUGCCUGCUCCUGCUGCCUGGCCUCUCCUUGCUCCUGGAGCCCACUCUGGGGUGGAGCAAAGUUGUGGCUGAGGCCAAGCGCUGUCUAGACCCAGCUGGGUGUGCGUGCGCCUGGGGCGCCGCUGACAUGCCAGCCCCCUGCCACCCUGGCCCCCUCUAGGCUUUGGGCACUGAGAAGCACAGGAGAGAGGCUGGCGGCGUGGGGUGGGGGAGCUGAGGGCACUCGGUGCGGGCUGCCGGUACUCCUCUGCAGGAACAGCCUGGGCGCUGUGGAUGACAUGAUUGAUGGUGGCAGGAGGCAGACAGGCUCCUGGGCGGAAAGAGGUGGGUCCCCGGUAAAGCCCCACCAUCAAGCCAGGGAGGCCUGAAGCCCAGGGGCUAGGCUGUCAGUCCCGGGUGAAGUCUGUGGCCCGGAGUGAGAACUUAUGGUGAUUUUUCCGGGUCAGCCCAUGGCCACCCAUGGGCCAAUCAGCAUGCACUUCCUCCCUUCUGAGCCUAGCCAGACUCACACAGACGCUGGGACUACCAGCUGUGGGAAGGAGCUACCCAAUUCAGGUCUCCUCGACUCAUCAAGACAACCUGCCUGAAGAAGGGAGCUACCCACUCUGGGUCUCUUCUCCACUGAGAGCUGGACACUUACUGGGACAACCUGCCUGCGGAAAGGAGCUACCCACUUCAAGUUUCCCGAGAGCUGUUCUGUCACUCGAUAAGGCUCCUCUCCGCCUUGCUCACCCUCUAGUUGUCCGCGUACCUCAUUCUUCCUGGAUGUGGGACGAGAACUCAGGACCCACUGAAUGGCGGGACUGAAAGAGCAGUAACACAAACAGGGCUGAAACACGCCCUCCUCCCGUCCCCACACCCCCGCGACUUGCCAUGUUGCGGGUGAUGUGAAGGAGAGAAGUGCUGUGGCCCUUCAGGGAGCACAGACCUAGGGGCUCCCUGAGCCAGGGCUGUGACACCCUCUUUGGGGCUCUGCGGUUUCUGGUAUCUUCAAACUUCCGGGCACCACUGCAUUCCCCUUGUCCAGACACAGGUGCCCACAGCAGAAGCCGCUUGUGGUUCAUCAGAUCCAGCUGCAGACUUGCAUAGAACCGGCACCUUUGCCGGCGCCUGGAGCUGCCUGCCCAGCUGCAGCAGCUGGUGUGUCCGGCUCUGCGCAGUGGCCAGACCCUGCGUUCGCUCGCCUGCACACCCCUCGCUGUUCCGUGCCUGGCUCACCCUCGGCAGGCGUGGAAUCCUGGCUGGUAGCAUGAGCUGAGCACAGCCUGCCAGGCCACGUCAGUGGAACAAGUCUGGCGGGCCUGAUCAAAACUCAGGCAAAGGCACCACUGGUCACAGAGCUUUCUAGCUGGAAAAGCAACACCUGAAGGAUCCCGUGACACAAUCAACCUGCUAGGAGAUCCCUGCCACCCUGAGAGGCUGCAGGAAGCUGCCUCCAUCCAGGCCUCUUCACAGAAGGAGAAUUGCAGAGACCGUAGGAUUUUUCUACUCACAGGAACAGAUGGUGUCCGGUCAGGAAGGUAAAAUGCUUCAAGAAAAGUGCAAUAGGGAUUAUAAUACUGAUGAUCUGAGACUCUGAUAAUGACUCUGAGAUGAUUCCCAAUUCUAUGAUGAAUCAUCUCAGAAUGACUCCGAGAUGAUGAUUCCUGAUUCUACGAUGAUUGAGGCAGAGCUCACUGGUUGGUGAAUCUAGUUGGUAGAGCUGAGGCACCGCAAUACCAUCAUUUCUUUCUGAGGAAAUCUAAAGAUGAAAGAAUUCAUCACUAAAACUGUACUACGAGAAAUGCUAAAGGAAGUUGUUCAAACUGAUGGAAAAUUAUACCAGAUGGACACUUGAAUUUGCCCAAAGGAAUGAAGAGCACCAGAAAUGGCAAAUGUGUGGGGCUUCAUUUACCAUCAUUAUCCUGGGGCUUUUGGAAUGCCUGAUCCACAGGCCUGGAUUCUCACACAAGAUGGCAUCUGAGGAGACCUGCUUCAUCAUGAAGGAGGUGUGGGAGCAGGUCCUGACCAGUAGGAUUCAUCGUUCAUAUCAUAUACCACAGCAUUCACAAGUAGCCAUCCUAACAGAGCAUCUGAAUGAUCUGCUGAAGGUGUAAUUGAAGUGCCAACUUGGAGACAAGACUCUGCAAGCAUGGGGUACCAUCUUCCAGGAUGAAAUAUAGGCACUGUAUUCAUGUUCUAUUGCUAGGUAACAAAUUAACACAAAUUUAGUGGCAUAAACAACACAUGUUUAUUACCUUACAGUUUCUGUGGGUCAAGAGUCUGGGCAUAGCUUAGCCGAGUCCUCUGUUCAGGGUCUCCAAGGCUGGAAUCGAUGUGUCAGCUGGGGCUGGGGUCUCUCUUCUAAGUUCACUUGGUUGUUGGCAGAAUUCAUUUUCUUGCAGUUGUAUAACUUCUUUUUUCUUCAAGGCCAGCAAGAGAAUU
rnacentral:lncRNA from 1 species